AGUGAACGCUGGCGGUAGGCCUAACACAUGCAAGUCGAACGGCAGCACAGUAAGAGCUUGCUCUUACGGGUGGCGAGUGGCGGACGGGUGAGGAAUACAUCGCAAUCUACUUUUUCGUGGGGGAUAACGUAGGGAAACUUACGCUAAUACCGCAUACGACCUACGGGUGAAAGCAGGGGAUCUUCGGACCUUGCGCGAUUGAAUGAGCCGAUGUCGGAUUAGCUAGUUGGCGGGGUAAAGGCACACCAAGGCGACGAUCCGUAGCUGGUCUGAGAGGAUGAUCAGCCACACUGGAACUGAGACACGGUCCAGACUCCUACGGGAGGCAGCAGUGGGGAAUAUUGGACAAUGGGCGAAAGCCUGAUCCAGCAAUACCGCGUGGGUGAAGAAGGCCUUCGGGUUGUAAAGCCCUUUUGUUGGGAAAGAAAAGCAGCAGGUUAAUACCCCGAUGUUCUGACGGUACCCAAAGAAUAAGCACCGGCUAACUUCGUG
rnacentral:rRNA from 1 species